rnacentral:rRNA from 1 species
GCAUAUCAAUAAGCGGAGGAAAAGAAACCAACAGGGAUUGCCCUAGUAACGGCGAGUGAAGCGGCAACAGCUCAAAUUUGAAAUCUGGCACCAGCCCGAGUUGUAAUUUGUAGAGGAUGCUUCUGGGCAGCGGCCGUUCUAAGUUCCUUGGAACAGGACGUCAUAGAGGGUGAGAAUCCCGUAUGUGACCGGCACGUACCCUCCACGUAGCUCCUUCGACGAGUCGAGUUGUUUGGGAAUGCAGCUCUAAAUGGGAGGUAAAUUUCUUCUAAAGCUAAAUACCGGCCAGAGACCGAUAGCGCACAAGUAGAGUGAUCGAAAGAUGAAAAGCACUUUGGAAAGAGAGUUAAAAAGCACGUGAAAUUGUUGAAAGGGAAGCGCUUGCAACCAGACUUCGUGGCGGUGUUCCGCCGGUCUUCUGACCGGUCUACUCGCCGCCGCGAGGCCAGCAUCGUCUGGGGCCGCCGGAUAAGACCUUGGGAAUGUAGCUCGCCUCGGUGAGUAUUAUAGCCCAUGGUGAUACGGCGCGCCCCGGGCGAGGUCCGCGCUC